GUGUAGCUCAGUGGCAGAGCAUCUGUUCUGCAUGCAGAAGGUCCCAGGUUCAAUCCCUGGGAUCUGCA